GAACGCUUGCUGCAUGCUUUAUACAUGCAAGUCGAACGGAGGCCCUAGCUUGCUAGGUGUCCUUAGUGGCGCACGGGUGAGUAACACGUGGGAACAUACCUUAUAGUACGGAAUAACUGCGGGAAACUGUAGCUAAUACCGUAUAUUCCAGCAAUGGGAAAGAUUUAUCGCUAUAAGAUUGGCCCGCGCAAGAUUAGCUUGUUGGUGAGGUAAAAGCUCACCAAGGCUUCGAUCUUUAGCUGGUUUGAGAGGACGAUCAGCCACACUGGGACUGAGACACGGCCCAGACUCCUACGGGAGGCAGCAGUAGGGAAUAUUGGACAAUGGGGGCAACCCUGAUCCAGCAAUGCAGCGUGAGUGACGAAGGCCUUAGGGUUGUAAAACUCUUUCAUCGGUGAGGAUAAUGACAGUAGCCGAAGAAGAAGGACCGGCUAAUUCCGUGCC
rnacentral:rRNA from 1 species